rnacentral:lncRNA from 1 species
UCCUGACCGUCCGAGCUUCCAUAAUACCAUCCGGACUUCUCCAAUAAUGGGCUCCUCCAUUCAUUUAUCGGACCACUCCAAACGCUCUUUGAGCUUCACUAUCAGCCGAUUUUCUACAGUGAUCGACUAUUCUCCGAAUCUCAGUCGAGACUUCUUCCGACCAUGAAUGACUUUACUCCGAACUACUUUCGGGCUUCAUCAAUGUUUGAGCUUCUCCAAUAGCAGGAC